UACAGAGGGUGCAAGCGUUAAUCGGAAUUACUGGGCGUAAAGCGUGCGUAGACGGUUAUGUAAGUCAGAUGUGAAAGCCCCGGGCUCAACCUGGGAAUUGCAUUGAGACUGCAUAGCUAGGGUGCGGAAGAGGGAAGCGGAAUUUCCGGUGUAGCGGUGAAAUGCGGUAGAUAUCGGAAGGAACACCAGUGGCGAAAGCGGCUUCCUGGUC
rnacentral:rRNA from 1 species